CGCCACCACGCCUACCACGUACUCCGCACACUCGGCCGCCACUGCAUAUAAAAGGACGUACUGAUACAUCCUUCCGGCAUAACGCAAUUUUCGUGCAAAUAUAAUCUUCAUUUUCACUUAACUCUUCAAAAAUCCAACAAAAACCAAAAAUGGGCGCUGAAAAAGUUACCAUGAACAUCGUCAUCGUCGGGCAUGUCCAAUCUGCCAAGGCUAUCAAAUCGGUCGCCAAAGCAACUCCAGCCACCUGCAGCCAAAUAAUGAACUGUUAAUUGAAGUCCACAUCAAUCUCAAACUCAAAAAUGCCAUAGCCAAAACAGUACAUAAUUUUAUAAUUUGUUUUUAAUUAUAAUAAUGUGUAUUGACAUUGCAAAAUAAAUCAGUCUCUUCCGUCAAUGAAA